CUCACAGCAACCCUGUGGAGUAGGUUAGACUGAGAGAUAAGUGACUGGCCCAGAGUCACCCACAGGCGCGUAACAAUGAUAGGGCAAGGGGAGACAGUUGUCUGGGGGCCCCACUGCCUGGAGGGGCACCCCAGAGGCACCUCAUGUGACUCCCCAUUGCCCCCUGCCCAGCCCCAAGGCUCCUCAGCCACUUGCCCUGUUCGCCGUCUCUCCAGCUUGUUCUCCUGGCCGGCAAUCGAGGGAGCAGACAAGCUGCCAAGAGCUCCUUUUCUCCCGCCUCUCAGCUGAUCGGCGGGUGGGCGGGGCUUCCACGGAGGCCUCCGUGUAGGCCGCAGUGAAGCCUGAACUCGAGUAGGGCCCAAGCCAGCCAGGAAGGAGGAGGUAGCCAGAGUGGCCAGCACUGCUCUCUGCAGCAGAAGACUCCUUGCUGCCCUGCUUAACCCAGACCAGCAUUUGCCAGGUGGUACAUGGCAAGCCCUACCUUCGCAGUGUCAAACCAAUCAGCAGCCAGCAGGGAAUGACAUCCAAUUGGGGCAUGCGGGCGUGGGACUACCAAGGCCCUGGCAGCGAGAUCCCUUUGCCGUGGCGACGCUCUGCACCGCAGCCCCCUCUCCUCCUGGCUCCCGCUCCAGCCCACCUUGAAGUGCUCCAAGGGGAACAGUGGCAUCACAGCAGUGGUCGAGGCUGGCUCCAACCGCUGACCUCCGUCACGUCGCCAACUCUCCUUGUGAGGAUGGCUGAGCUGGAGCUUCCAUCUGGCCUGCACAGACAGCCCUUGGUGUGCUCUCCCACCAGGGCUGCCUCCGGAGCCAAGGAGCACCUCCCAGCCUGCGCACCCACCAGAAGGAGGAGCAGGAAGAGGAGUGAGGCUCGAGUGAGGAGGUCUCUGGGGUGAGGGGGCUGUGGGGGUGGGUGUGAAGGGAGCAAUCAAGUACUCGUUUAGAUACUCUGCAUGAGCCAAGCUAGUAAAAUAUAAAAGUACUAGUUUAGAUAGAAGCAAAAAAAAUGUAGAAUAGUAUUUAAUUUAUUGACAACAUUUUUUACCCUUGCCUAUCCAAGUGGGUGUCUAAUAUCAAAAACAAAAAAAUGGAUAUGUGUUUUAUAUAAUGUCACACUGAGCUGUGAGAUUCACUAUUGCCACAUGUAGAUGUUGCUUUUUCUUUUUUUUAAGAGAGAGACAGACUAGACAAGAUGAGAAUAUCAGCAGCUAUUAAUUCAGUAACAGUAAUGGGUCUUCUUGAUUUGAUAUGAAUAAGGCUUAAGCUACUGCAAGUUAACUAAAUAGCAAGGAAUGGUGUACACCUCAAUGGAAAUAAAUAUUAUUUAUUUAUUUA